GGAAUCCGAUGUCGUCCUUUCUCCAGUAUUCCUCCCACUCUCCAAGCGUCAUGACCCGGUUGGCCUGUGGUUCCAACAUGUCGGCUUCAGUGACGACUGGUAUCUGUUCAGCAGCAGCGAGUUAUUUAUCGUCCUGAGUUUAGUCUGUCAGCUGCAGAGAGGGAAGCA